GAUGAACGCUAGCGACAGGCCUAACACAUGCAAGUCGAGGGGCAGCACAAGGAGCAAUCUGAGGUGGCGACCGGCGCACGGGUGAGUAACACGUAUGCAACCUACCUGUAAGAGGGGGAUAACCCGUUGAAAGACGGACUAAUACCGCAUAAUACUGAAUAACCGCAUGGUUAAUCAGUUAAACAUUUAUGGCUUACAGAUGGGCAUGCGCAUGAUUAGCUAGUUGGUGAGGUAACGGCUCACCAAGGCAACGAUCAUUAGGGGUUCUGAGAGGAAGGUCCCCCACACUGGUACUGAGACACGGACCAGACUCCUACGGGAGGCAGCAGUGAGGAAUAUUGGUCAAUGGGCGAGAGCCUGAACCAGCCAAGUCGCGUGAAGGAUGAAGGUUUUAGAAUUGUAAACUUCUUUUGCAGGGAAUAAAGUGCGGUACGUGUACCGUUUUGUAUGUACUCUGCGAAUAAGGAUCGGCUAACUCCGUGCCAGCAGCCG
rnacentral:rRNA from 1 species